rnacentral:tRNA from 1 species
GCCACGCGGGCGGGCGAUCGAACUUGUAAAGCGAAGGUCGUCGGUUCGAACCCGACAGUCGGCU